ACAGUUUGAUGUUAAAACGCAUUAAUGAUGGAUUUGUUUCUUACAAACAUGCAGCUUUUCACUUCUCAAGACCUAAAUUCUGACGGGGC